GACGAACGCUGGCGGCGUGCUUAACACAUGCAAGUCGAACGAAGAGCGAUGGAAGCUUGCUUCUAUCAAUCUUAGUGGCGAACGGGUGAGUAACGCGUAAUCAACCUGCCCUUCAGAGGGGGACAACAGUUGGAAACGACUGCUAAUACCGCAUACGAUCUAACCUCGGCAUCGAGGAUGGAUGAAAGGUGGCCUCUAUUUAUAAGCUAUCACUGAAGGAGGGGAUUGCGUCUGAUUAGCUAGUUGGGGGGGUAACGGCCCACCAAGGCGAUGAUCAGUAGCCGGUCUGAGAGGAUGAACGGCCACAUUGGGACUGAGACACGGCCCAGACUCCUACGGGAGGCAGCAGUGGGGAAUCUUCCGCAAUGGACGAAAGUCUGACGGAGCAACGCCGCGUGAGUGAUGACGGCCUUCGGGUUGUAAAGCUCUGUUAAUCGGGACGAAAGGCCUUCUUGCGAAUAGUUAGAAGGAUUGACGGUACCGGAAUAGAAAGCCACGGCUAACUACGUG
rnacentral:rRNA from 1 species